rnacentral:rRNA from 1 species
GAUGAACGCUGGCGGCGCGCCUAACACAUGCAAGUCGAACGAUUAAAGCACCUUCGGGUGUGUAUAAAGUGGCGAACGGCUGAGUAACACGUGGGCAACCUGCCCCUUUCAUUGGGAUAGCCACGGGAAACCGUGGAUAAUACCUAAUACUUCGAGACUUCCGCAUGGAAGACUCGAGAAAGCUCCGGCGGAGAGGGAUGGGCCCGCGGCCUGUUAGCUUGUUGGUGGGGUAACGGCCUACCAAGGCAAUGAUGGGUAGCUGGGUUGAGAGAGCGACCAGCCAGAUUGGGACUGAGACACGGCCCAGACUCCUACGGGAGGCAGCAGUGGGGAAUCUUGCACAGUGGGCGAAAGCCUGAUGCAGCGACGCCGCGUGAGGGAUGAAGGCCUUCGGGUUGUAAACCGCUUUCAGCAGGGACGAGGCGAAAGUGACGGUACCUGCAGAAGAAGCCCCGGCUAACUACGUG